rnacentral:rRNA from 1 species
UUCUGGUUGAUCCCGCCGGACCUGACUGCUAUCGGAUUGAUACUAAGCCAUGCGAGUCUUUGUAGUAAUACAAGGCAGACGGCUCAGUAACACGUAGUCAACCUACCCUAUGGACAAGAAUAAUCUCGGGAAACUGGGCAUAAUUCUUGAUAGAUCAUAAUGCCUGGAAUGGUUUAUGGUUAAAAUGAUUCGUCGCCAUAGGAUGGGACUGCGGCCUAUCAGCUUGUUGGUGAGGUAAUGGCCCACCAAGGCGAUUACAGGUACGGGCUCUGAGAGGAGAAGCCCGGAGAUGGGUACUGAGACACGGACCCAGGCCCUAUGGGGCGCAGCAGGCGAGAAAACUUUGCAAUGUGCGAAAGCACGACAAGGUUAAUCCGAGUGAUUUCUGCUAAAGAAAUCUUUUGCCAGUCAUAAAACCACUGGUGAAUAAGGGGUGGGCAAGUUCUGGUGUCAGCCGCCGCGGUAAAACCAGCACCUCAAGUGGUCAGGAUGAUUAUUGGGCCUAAAGCAUCCGUAGCCGGCUUUGUUAGUUUUCGGUUAAAUCCAUGUGCUCAACGCAUGGGCUGCCGAAAAUACUGCAUAGCUAGGGAGUGGGAGAGGUAGACGGUACUCAGUAGGAAGGGGUAAAAUCCUUUGAUCUAUUGAUGACCACCUGUGGCGAAGGCGGUCUACCAGAACACGUUCGACGGUGAGGGAUGAAAGCUGGGGGAGCAAACCGGAUUAGAUACCCGGGUAGUCCCAGCUGUAAACGAUGCAGACUCGAUGAUGCAUUGGCAUAAUAGCCAGUGCAGUGUCGCAGGGAAGCCGUUAAGUCUGCCGCCUGGGAAGUACGUACGCAAGUAUGAAACUUAAAGGAAUUGGCGGGGGAGCACCACAAGGGGUGAAGCCUGCGGUUCAAUUGGAUCCAACGCCGGA